GAUGAACGCUGGCGGCGUGCUUAACACAUGCAAGUCGAACGAUGAAGCCCAGCUUGCUGGGUGGAUUAGUGGCGAACGGGUGAGUAACACGUGAGUAACCUGCCCUUAACUCUGGGAUAAGCCUGGGAAACUGGGUCUAAUACCGGAUAGGAGCGUCCACCGCAUGGUGGGUGUUGGAAAGAUUUAUCGGUUUUGGAUGGACUCGCGGCCUAUCAGCUUGUUUGUGAGGUAAUGGCUCACCAAGGCGACGACGGGUAGCCGGCCUGAGAGGGUGACCGGCCACACUGGGCCUGAGACACGGCCCAGACUCCUCCGGGAGGCAGAAGUGGGGAAUAUUGCACAAUGGGCGCAAGCCUGAUGCAGCGACGCCGCGUGGGGGAUGACGGCCUUCGGGUUGUAAACCUCUUUCAGUAGGGAAGAAGCGAAAGUGACGGUACCUGCAGAAGAAGCACCGGCUAACUACGU
rnacentral:rRNA from 1 species